CAUCCGGGUGAUGUCAGAAUUUCCACAAGAUUCAUCACGGGUUCUGAGAAAUUCAGGGCGGAUCCUGUCAACGGAGGAAGGGAGGAAGGGAGAAGGGGAGAGGGGAGGAAGAACAGUGGCUCCCUCCCCCUUUCAAAAUGAAAAUGGCUCUAGAGUGUUUUUGGCCAUGAACUUAGGGUGUAAUCUUAAUAAAUAAAUAUAGGGCUUUAUAAUAUGAGUAUAUUUGUAUUUCAAUGCGG
rnacentral:lncRNA from 1 species